rnacentral:lncRNA from 1 species
UUACUGUACUUACAUUUUAGGGCUUUGAUUUUGUGUUGUUCUGUUUUUGUUUGUAUUGUUUUAUGUUUUGUUAAUUUCUGUUUUGUUUGAUUAUAUAAUGUUUUGAUCUGUUUUAUUUAUUGUUGUUUUUUUUUUUAUUUGGGCAAGAGUACUAGUGCUUAAAGAAUACUUUUAAGUAUUCAUUUGAAUAUUAGUGAAGUACAGUUGCAGAUCCAGCCAUUUUAAAAAGGGGGGGUUCCUAACCCAGGACAAAGUUGGGGUUCCAAAUACAUGUCCCCAUUCAAAUGCAUUGAUCAGCCCAAAAAAAGGGGGUUCCAACCCCACAGACCCCUCCCCCCCUGGAUCCCUGCCUGGAAGUAGUAUAUUUAUGGUGCAUAAACAUGAUAAAAGUAAUUUUGUCUUGUAUUUUUAACAUACCUCUUCUGUAAGUUUAACAUGACUUGAGAAUUUGACACUUACAUGCAAGCAAUUAAUGGUGACUAUAUUAUGCAAUUGAACUACAGUACAACACCAAACAAAUGAACUUAAAGUUGUCAAUUGUUCCAGUGAUACUCUCCAUGAAUUAUUGAUAUACUGGUGUAUAUAUAGAAAUCGAUUUUUCAAAUUUACUUAGAAGUUGAGUGCAUCUACAUCAUCUACAUUAUUGUUUCUUGAUUGACUCAUGAAUAAAAUAUUAAUUCAUAUUGAAAUAUGGUACAAAUUUUGUACAACAAUUCUAUUUACAACUUUUAUAUUUUAUAUUUUUAUUUUCAAUUUCUUGUGUGUCAGUUUUUUCAUUAACUUGAUUUCAAUUAACUUAAAUGCUUUAUUUGUCCUGUGUUAGCAUGCUCUAUUGUAGUGCAGGAGGUUUUGUGUUGAUCCCAAGCCGUGAAGCUGAGACCGUGCAAGGACUGUAAAGCAAGUCAAGGUCAUUAAAAACUUCCAUUUGUUGACUUCAAAAUUUUCAUUGUCAACUCCAACUUCUCUGCUAAACAUGUGGCAUUUAAUAGUAGAUUCCCACUUCUCUGCUAAACAUGUGGCAUUUAAUAGUUGAUUCCCACUUCUCUGCUAGACAUGUGGCAUUUAAUAGUAGAUUCCCACUUCUCUGCUAAACAUGUGGCAUUUAAUAGUAGAUUCCCACUUCCCUGCUAAACAUGUGGCAUUUGAUAGUAGAUUCCCACUUCUCUGCUAAACAUGUGGCAUUUAAUGUAAUUCCCAGAUAGAUUCCCAGAUUAGAUUCCCACUUCUCUGCUAAACAUGUGGCAUUUAAUAGUGGAUUCCCACUUCUCUGCUAAACAUGUGGAAUUUUAAUAGAUGAUUCCCACUUCUCUGCUAAACAUGUGGCAUUUAAUAGUAGAUUCCCACUUCCCUGCUAAACAUGUGGCAUUUGAUAGUAGAUGAAAGCACUGUGUGAUCUAAAGUCAUAAAUAUGUAUCAGUGUAGAACAACAUGUCUUCCUGCACACUUUUACAAAAAAACCAGGCUCAGAUUGUUUGUCUAGUACAAGUAGGACUGUUUAUACUCAUAUAGCAUUAAGUGCCAAUCGGCCUUUGAAGCAGUCAGUGAUGGAAACAUGACAAACAAAACCCACUCAUUAGCUGACAUUAAUUUAUGUUUAAAAUGUAUAAUGGUGGACAUGUAUAACUCUUGUGGUCUUGCCAGCUCUGAUUAUUUAAGAUAUAUUAUGGUUGAAAUGCACUAAAAAUUAAGGGGUCAUUCAUAAUUGUCAACCAUUUUCCAAAGUGUACAAAACAUACACUUGGGGGGAGGGGGUAAAUAAUCAACAUUUUUACCAUACACUUUAAAAAAAAAAGAUAAAACAUUCAGAUAUGUUUCAGUUCAUUUUCGAUGCGAUUUUUUAUAUUAAACUUAACUGUAAUAGACAUGAUCUUCUUUUUAUUAAGAAUGAUUGAUUUUUGUCUUGAAAUCUGAAAAUAGUUGAUGUACACUUAUUGAAAGAAGAUGGUCCCCCUACCCCGGGUAGAAAUAGUGUAUUUUUGUACACUUUGGAUGACCCCUAUCAAUUAAGGGGAGCUAACUCCAUAAUUUGCCAUCAUUCUAACCAAAAGGAAUCUAGAGAUUUCUUGAAUUACCAGACAUGCAGAAAUGAAAGACCUACCAUUUCUAACUAAUAACGAAGGUUAUUUUAAAAUAGGAUGGUUAGGUUGGUGGGUUUUUUCAGUCAUGUUUUGAUUUUUUUUUCAAACUUGCCAUAUUCCUACAACAUGUACAAUGACUGACAAAAAACUUGUUCUAAUCCUGAAUAUGCAUUUUUAAAUUUGCCACCGGACGUUAAACAAUCAUUCAUCAAUUAAAUUCUAAAAUGUAUGAUUUGUUUAUAUUUGAUAUUUGUUCAUUCAUUCAUCAUAUGUUCAUUUAUUUCAUUAUAUAUCGGCGCUAAAUCUCAAUUUUAGAGUUUUAUAUGGACUAUUCCUUUCUCAAUUUUAUUGAUGCAAAGGACAAUGUUUUCUACGUAACCUAGUCAAUCGUUAGUUGCAACAUAUGUGAAAUGUGAUUAUAAAUGUACAGGUUAUGUUUAUAAUAAAUUUGAGAAUGGAAAUGGGGAAUUACAAUUAUGGUACCAUUUUUCUGCACCAGAUGUCCAUUUUCACUGCACUAGUACAAAUUUUUAUUUAGGGGCCAGCUGAGGCCCACCUCCAGGUACAGGAUUUUCUUGCUGCGUUCAAGACCCAUUGGUGGCUUUCAGCUGAUCUUUAGUCAGGUUGUUGUCUCUUAGACAUAUUUCCCAUUUCCAAUCUCAAUUUUAUAAUGUUUAUUGUAUAAGAGUUCCAUUUUAGCAUUUAUGAUAAUAGGAGAACUUUUGAAGUGUCUUCUAAUUGAAUCAUAAAGCUGGCAUGUAUUGUAUUAACAAAUUCAAUAUAUAUAUAUAAAUAAAGACCUAGAGGCAUUAUUUCACAAGGAAACAAUAUUGAUUGAAAAAUACUUAAAAGGCAGACAUUGUCAUGGCUAAUCUGAAGAAAACACAUUUUGAUGUACAAUUAACAAGAGAAUUUAUGAUUCAAUAAAUGUUUUUGUCAUAUUUUAUAUCAAUAGAGAAAAUCAAAUAUCAUACAUAGCAAAAUUUAUAUUAAAUAAACAUAAAC